UCUAUGGUUUGUCAUUGGGGAAAAACAUAUUUGGGGGUAUACAAUUUGUAUGUAUAUAUUCAUGGUGUUCAAAUAUUUUUCACUUUUCAUUACAUUUUCAAAGAGA